GGACCCGGCGACCCUCGACAUCCUUUAAGUACCGGGGUAAAACCCACCAACCCACCCCCCAACCCCCGCGCUCACUCGCUCGGGUGAACCCUGCCAACUGGGCUGGAUUUCCGGGUGGUUGCGGGGCAUAUGCUCGCCGCGACAACAAACCAGACAUGAGACGGCCCCCGCCGGGACUGGCAUCCCGGGCGAGGGCCUGACCAACCAGGAAGUUCCCACCUUCCCA
rnacentral:ncRNA from 1 species